CCUACGGGUGGCAGCAGUAGGGAAUAUUGCUCAAUGGGGGAAACCCUGAAGCAGCAACGCCGCGUGGAGGAUGAAGGUUUUCGGAUUGUAAACUCCUUUUGUUAGAGAAGAUAAUGACGGUAUCUAACGAAUAAGCACCGGCUAACUCCGUGCCAGCAGCCGCGGUAAUACGGAGGGUGCAAGCGUUACUCGGAAUCACUGGGCGUAAGGAGCGCGUAGGCGGGAUAGCAAGUCAGAUGUGAAAUCAUAUGGCUUAACCAUAGAACUGCAUUUGAAACUGUUAUUCUAGAGUAUGGGAGAGGUAGGUGGAAUUCGUGGUGUAGGGGUGAAAUCCGUAGAGAUCAAGAAGAAUACUGAUUGCGAAGGCAACCUGCUAGAACGUAACUGACACUGAUGUUCGAAAGUGUGGGGAGCAAACAGGAUUAGAUACCCGGGUAGUC
rnacentral:rRNA from 1 species